rnacentral:rRNA from 1 species
GAUGAACGCUGGCGGCGUGCCUAAUACAUGCAAGUCGAGCGAACGGACGAGAAGCUUGCUUCUCUGAUGUUAGCGGCGGACGGGUGAGUAACACGUGGAUAACCUACCUAUAAGACUGGGAUAACUUCGGGAAACCGGAGCUAAUACCGGAUGAUAUUUUGAACCGCAUGGUUCAAAAGUGAAAGACGGUCUUGCUGUCACUUAUAGAUGGAUCCGCUCUGCAUUAGCUAGUUGGUAAGGUAACGGCUUACCAAGGCAACGAUGCAUAGCCGACCUGAGAGGGUGAUCGGCCACACUGGAACUGAGACACGGUCCAGACUCCUACGGGAGGCAGCAGUAGGGAAUCUUCCGCAAUGGGCGAAAGCCUGACGGAGCAACGCCGCGUGAGUGAUGAAGGUCUUCGGAUCGUAAAACUCUGUUAUUAGGGAAGAACAUAUGUGUAAGUAACCGUGCACAUCUUGACGGUACCUAAUCAGAAAGCCACGGCUAACUACGUG